rnacentral:sRNA from 1 species
UGCUGAGCCAUCCCACCAGCCCCCAAUUUACCUGUCUAAAGUGUACAGGGUAUGUUUCUGACAAUAGCGUAAGGUAGUAUAACCUUUGCCCAAGUCAAGACACAGAACAUUUCGUCACCCUGAGAAGUUGCUUCACAAAUUCACCGUGACCUUCGCCCCUCCCCCAAGUCAUGGGGCAACAACCGAUCUGAUAUUCGGUCUUUAUCCUUUUGCUUUUUUUGUAAAAUAAUGAGGAACAGACAUUCUCAGUGGGAGCUACAGCCAAAUACCGGAAUAGGGAUUUUCACCGGCAAGUAGGCAAGAGCUCUGAGCAAGACAUGGCUAUGCUGUAGAACAUGUAAGGUAAGACGGAGCUUCGGAGCUGAGGUCUGGGGGUCAGCAAUCGGCCACACGACUGGCUCACCCAGGACCUCAUUUUCAUAGCUCAAAGAUUGAGGAGGUGGCAGAGAAAACAGUUCAAGCAAGGGGGCUCUUUGCAAGCUUCAUGUGGCCUUUGUCCUCACCAGAGCCACUUUGUGACUCCCUGCCCCAGACCAGUCAGUGACAGGAUCCAAUUUGCAUUCUGGAAGGAUUAUUCCACUCACUAGGAAACAGAGGCAGGGAAGAGUUGGAGGCCUGAAGUGAGACUGGUAGCCUCAGCCACGGCUGUGGUGGGCAGGAGUAGUCAGAUACAGUCGGCCUUUAGGAGGUAGGGUUCCAGGACUUAGUAGGAUGGUGGAGGAGGAGGUGACAGAAAAAGGCUUAAGAUGGUUCCCUUGUUUCUAGAUUGGAUGUUUGUUUGAACAUAAAAAUGGCGGCAUCAUUGAAGGGACACUGCAGCUGAAGCCGUCUGGCAGUGUGGAAGUGGAGACGUGGGUUCUGGAAUGCAGCUAAGGGGCAAUGUCCAGUGGACAGUUGGAUGUGCCAGUCUAGAUCUCAGAGAAGAGAUUCCAUUCUCUGUGAACUAACUUCUAGGUUCUCCUGUAGCCUGAUAGAAAACCAAAGGAUUUGUCCCAUCCAGAGGAACUUUUCUCCUUACCCGUUUUCUUCCCCCCUUUCCCCCCUCGCCUUUUCUGUAGAAAAGGAUUGAUUCUCUGUGUAGCUGUGGCUGUAGACCACGCUGGCUUCAAACUCAGGGAUCUGUCAGUCUCUGCCCUACAAGUUCUGGGAUCAAAGGUGCGCCCCACCUGGCCACCUGGCCAAGAGGAACUUCUUUCAUUAAGUAGAAUCUUCUUCCUAAAUUGUUUGUUCUAGAAAGAGCUAGUUUCAUGUUACGAACCUUUCGGAAUCCUGGGAAAGGGCUCUGGGCUUUCGAUACAUUUUGAUACAAUAUAGCGCAUCUACUAAGCACCUGUGAGAUGAGGAGGGAGCCAGGCUGGCAGCUUUCUAGUUGCUCGUUGUUCAGAAGCGCUGAUGUUCCUCACUUUGUGAUAUUGACACUGUGCUUUGUGCAUUUAUAAAAUCAAGGCUGGAGGAGGUCUCAGCACAUGGUCUACAACCAAGGAAUAGUCUACGAUCAACGACUAAUUUCCCUUUCUCUUUGAAGCAGAAAGGUAUUAAGGGAGCUGUGUCUGUGCUCUCCAGAGAGGCAGAGUAACAGAGCACACGUGAAACUAUUAGAGACUGCCUCGUCAAUGUGGAGACCAAGAAGCCCUCCAGUCUGCUGUCUGCAGGAUGAAGAACAAGGAAGACCAGGGGUGUGAACCCCAGUGUGAGCCUGAGGGCUCUCAAGUCAGGACUGAUGUUUAAAGACGGGGAGAGAGGGGUUCCCUGGCUCAAACAGAUGGUAAAACUCACCCUUUCUCCACAUCUUUUGUGCAGUUUGUUUCUUCAAUGAAUUAGAUCAUGUCCAACUACACUCCAAAGACCCUUAUUCUUCGUUCAGUCUACAAAUUUAAGUGUUAAGGACUUCCAGAGACAUUUGUAGCAAACACAGAAAAUAGUCGUUUCUCAGUCUAUCUGGGUAUUCUGCACCUUAGCCAAAGGAAACCAUGAAAAACCAUCUUGGCUUUGUUUUUAUUAUAAAAAGACUAACUGGAGAGACCUAGUCCAGGCUGUGCCUGGCUGUGGGGAAGAGAAGGACAGGGAGGCAGACGACACCCUGUCUUGGUUAAGAGAGCCACAUGGAGGGAAAAGCCAAAUCAUCACUCUCCAGGGCCAAGGAAGCCAGAGGUUUCUUUUAGAAAUUCCAUCCGAAAGAAGCUAGAUGUGGAAUUCUGCAGGCCACAUCAUACUUCUCAGGGAUCCUCACGUAAAAUUUAACAGCCUAUUUCUUUGUCAUUCCCACAGAUGUUGGUGAGAGGGAUAUCUCUGUCACUAUAACAAAACGCACAAGACAAUCAACUUACAAAGAGGAAAGGUUUUCCACCUCAUCGUCUUAAAGGUUCCACUCCAUAACCAGGAAGACGAAUUUCUGGCAAGGUUGCAGGAGGCAAAGCCUGCUCUUAAGUGUGUAUGAGCAAUCACACCGUGGCCAGAAGCAAAGGAGAAGAGAGUGGGCACCACAUAGAGCAUGUGUGCCUCUUCUGGGGGGCACACAUCCAGUGAUCUAGGACUUCUCUGCUACAUCCCACCUCACCCCACAAUAGCCUUGCCUGACGAGCAUGCCUUCAACACAUGGGUCUGUGGUGGUACAUCAAAUCCAAAGUGUAGCAAGGGCCAGGUAGACUCACAACAUACAGGCCAUGUUCUCUUUGCCACAUGGUGAAGUGAAUCACAGAACAUCUUUUGAAUAGGAACUUUCACCUUCUAUUUUAUCAGCAGGAAUCUGGGCAGCCAGGAUUCAUCCAGUUGUUGGGCAGCCCACCAAAGUCUCAUCUUAAUGACCUGUGUUUAAGACAAACCUCUCAGAAUGAGGCCGUGGCUCACAAGCCUUUGCCUUGCAGGAUUGGGACCCUGAGUCCCAUCCCCAUUCUACCCUGCACAGCCCUAACAGUCAUAACCCAAUGAAAACCUCUGUCUCCCACACCCUCCAUGACUAACGACACGGGACACUCAACUAUAAAAAGCAUCAAGUGCAGACAGUCAUUUUGACUCUCUAGAACACUAAGCUAAUUAAUGCACCCUUGACUCUUCCUCCGUUCCCGUUAGGCUGACACUCGGGGCCAGCCCUCCUGUUUACUAGUUCUCUGAGAGGAAAUUUUUAGGAAAACGUUGCUUUUAGUACAACCUCGGUCACAUUCUUCUCACGUUGGUUGCUGCAUAGUCUGAAGGGGUUACGUCAAGGGGAAUUUGACACCCACCCUUCUCAUUUGCUCUUUGAUUUGCACACUCAUCAAAAGACUCGGGCCAUUUGAUACCUCACAAGAUGAUUCCUCCUAUAGCAGACACUGAGGGAAGGGGGAGUCACCUGGCCCCAGCAUCUGCUAACUGUGUUCUGUUCCUAUUUCAACUGUUGACUCGAUAAAUGCCCUUGGGCAAGUCACUGAACCCCUCCAUGUUUAGUCUCUGGGGAAUGAAAUCUGCCAACUGUAUUUUGUGGGUUUGAACCUCGCUGCCCUCUGGGAUAAAAAUAGGAGAGGACCAGGUGUCAGCUGGUCCCAAACUGAUGUAAGGACAGCGGCCAUGGGAUCUCAAAGAUGUCCUUGAGCUAUAAAUUCUAUAAUAGGAACCCAAACACGGGGGCCUCCGGCAUUUGGUUUGUGUGAUGAAUCCCCGCCCUUGAAACUUUUCCAGCCUGGCAAAAACUGGCAUUAACCUUCCACUCUUGAAUCUCUUGAAUCCUCUGCCUCGCCCUGCCCCCACUUCUCAGUAUUUCUCCCGCCAAGGUACUCAACCCUGAUCGCUGUUGCUUUUCACAAAGCUCUUGGACUGCAAACUUCCUGAGGGAGGAGAACACACCAGCCUGAGGCUUCAUUUUCAAGGACACACCAGGCAAGCGGGCACCCUACGUGAACGUUUGGCCAGACGGACGAGUGAAUGAACGCUGCCCAGGCCCCAGAGAACAUUCCACUCCCCCGCCUGAUGAUCAUCUAUUCGUGGCCAUGAUAAGAUGUGGAACAACAGUUUCAAGAGCAGAUGUCAACACCAGAACCAGAAUCAUCCAGAUUCAUGACCGAAUCCCUCCUACAAACCUACCCCUUGCUAUCUUUCAGAUUCAUGGCCUCUUCAUUAAUCAUUGUCACAUAUGUACACAUAGGAAUAAACAGGCAUUCUUAACUGAGUGUUAAAUUUUGACGCUCUGGACAAGUAGUCACAAGAAAGGACAAAAUGGUUCCAGGCCUAGAGAAAAGAGAAGCCAAGGAGACUGAGCUAGAUCAGAGUUGAAAACCGAUGGUUCAGCUCUGUAGACUACUUAUCUCACUCACCUUCGAGGCAUCCAUCCAUCAGGUCAGGGAGGGCUUAACCUGGGCCAGAGGUUGGACAACAACUUUUUCCUGCGGAAGGCAAGACAAUAAAACUUUUCAGUGUUGUAGGCUUCAAGUCUCUGUCGGAAUUAUCAGUUCUGCGGUGGAAGCACAAACGCAGUCAAAGGAACACGCGACACACGCGACAGUCCUCAUAGACCCUCAUGGACACAGAAAGUUGGACUUUACAAAAGAGAGUUAUUUCACUUGAUGCAUUUUGGAGUUUGCCCGCACUCGAGACUGUGUACCAUGUACCUGCGGUGCCCACAGAGACCGAAGAGGGAGUCAGAUCUAAGGGACAGCUAAGGGACAGCGGUGGGCUGCCACACGGUGCUGGGAACUGCGCCUGGUCCUCUGUAAGAGUGGUCAGUGCUCUCAACUGUUAAGCCAUCUCUCCAGCCCCUCACUUUUUGUGUGUCCCCAGAUGAUUUUUACUUUGGUGUCUUCUCAGUCAUUUAUAAAUGUAGAAAUCAUUCCCGCCUUGUGAGCUGGGGGGGAUUAGAGCAGAUAUGGCCUGGGGAUGGGGCUUUGCACCCCAACCUCAGUACUGGAGGAACCUGAUCUGGAACUGGUGACUGAGAUCAGCAUGGGGUCUACCGUUCACUGUGAGUAUAGGGCUGAUUGUGAAUCUUCUGGAGUUUCCUAUUCCCCUUGGCAACGGAAUGCCAGGAUGACAAUGGUCAAGUGGUAUGGACAGUAGGGCACAGGGCCACCUGUUGAACAAAUAAAGGAAUACCGAGACACGAGCUAAGGACAACGUGGCCAAAACUUGUGCAUACCACGGGAAGGUGGUUCAAAGAGGCUUGUGACAAGUCAGCAGAUUCUCUGACCGAAAACAAUUUAGGAGAAAAGAGAUUUACAUGGCUUACACUUCGAGUUCACGUCCACCAUUGAGAGAAGUCGGGCAGAGACUAAAGCAGGAACCUGAACCAAAGACCGCAGAGGAAUGCUGCUUCCGGUUUGCCCCUGCCUUGCUGCUUGCGGCACCCCUGCAUUGCUAUGCUUACGGCUCGCCCCUGCAUUGCUCCCUAGCUCAUAUUAAGCUAGCUUUCUUGUAGAGCCCAGGCCCACCUGCCUAGGGAUGGUGCGGUGCAUGAUGGGCUGGACCAUCCUCGGCUCUGUGGUCCUCCCUGUGCGUUUUGGCCCAUGCGUGCUUAUUUCAGGAUAUUUGAUCGCAUCGUGAACGCCAAGAUUCUGAGCUGGGAAAACCGUGUUGUGGUGUGCACACCCCUAACGCUUCGACAGCUAAAUAAAGUCAACUGUGGGUCAAGAGGCGGAGCAAGCAACCAGCUGGCAGGGAGUGGACGCAAAUAAACAGAACGGAGGGUCUUUGAACCAAAGGGCGUUUAAGACAGCAUGGAGAAGGAGAAAACACCUUUUCCUUCUGGGAUAUCGGUGGAGUAGGAAGGUCAGCUUGGUGUUUGUCGGCCCCUCUCAGCAUCUGGCUUCUGAGUCUGAUUUAGUAGAUCGAACAUUUGAGAUUUUUGUUUAAAAAAACAACGCAUGUUUUCUACAAUUAGUUAUAAGCAAUGUGCUUGCCUGAGUUCCAAGAACCACGUUGGCAGAUUAACUAAACCUGUGAAGGGGCUCAUGGCUGGCUGAUGAGUCUGCUUGUAGUGGGCAUCUGAAAUGGAGGGAAUCUUGUAGGGCCGAGCACUCUGCCAUCUGUGGGAGCUGAUGGUACUAUCAAGUGGUCAGUGCCGUGGCUGAGCUGAAGUAGAGACUGCCUAGCUGGAGCGUUCCUGGUAUGUGGGGAGACAACCUCCACACAGCUGGUGUUUUGUAGGAGUGUGGAGGAGAAAAGCAAAUUUUGUUAUCGUGAGACCUGUGUGAGAAGAAGAGCACAAAUUGUAAACGCUAAACUGCGUACAGAGCUUUGG